rnacentral:rRNA from 1 species
CAGGUAGGAAUACCCGCUGAACUUAAGCAUAUCAAUAG